rnacentral:lncRNA from 1 species
CGAUCGUUUUACUAUAUAUAGGCCCUAUAGAUACAAGUAGUUUUCGCAUAGAUAUCCUGUAUCCUGCUUUUAUUGGAAGCGAACGGAUACAUUUGAAUCGUUGUUUAUGUUGCAGAUUAUUUGGCACUUAAACUUUUCAUGCGUAAAAUAUAAAUUGUCGUCUAGAAUAUGACUAGUAGUAAGUACAUUGCAGGAAAAUAUAACAUGAAUGUGUAGUCGCUACAAAGAAGGAGAAAAUUAAGGUCGGCGAACAUGGCCUUUCUCUCUUCUUUAAAUUAAAUCGUAAACAAUUAAAUGUUACUUUUUUCGAUAUUAAACGAAUUUCUAUAUGUAAUUUACAAGGACGAUUGUAAGGGGAGUUGUUACCAUAAGUAAUAGGC